GGCUGUGGCUCAGGGGUAGAGCGCUCGCCUAGCACGUUGCAAGGCCCUGGGUUCAAUUCUCAGCACCA
rnacentral:tRNA from 1 species